rnacentral:rRNA from 1 species
AUGUAUAAGUUUAAUCGCUUUAUCKAGAAACCGCGAACGGCUCAUUACAAUGGCSAUUAUUUACUUGAUCUUGAUUGUCUAAAUGGAUAACUGUGGAAAAGCUAGAGCUAAUACAUGCACCAAAGCUUUGUCCUCUCGGAAAAGCGCAUUUAUUAGAACAAAACCACGCGGCUUCGGCUGCUUCUUGUUGACUCAGAAUAGCUUAGCUGACCGCAUGGCCUUGUGCCGGCGGCGUGUCUUUCAAGCGUCCACUUUAUCAACUUGACGGGAGCAUAAUCGACUCCCGUGGUGGUGACGGAUAACGGAGGAUCAGGGUUCGACUCCGGAGAAGGGGCCUGAGAAAUGGCCACUACGUCUAAGGAUGGCAGCAGGCGCGCAAAUUACCCACUCUCGGCUCGAGGAGGUAGUGACGAGAAAUAACGAGACUGUUCUCUUUGAGGCCGGUCAUCGGAAUGGGUACAAUUUAAACCCUUUAACGAGUAUCAAGCAGAGGGUAAGUCUGGUGCCAGCAGCCGCGGUAAUUCCAGCUCUGCAAAUACAUAGAAUUAUUGCUGCGGUUAGAAAGCUCAUAGUUGGAUUCGUAUCGAUACCUUGGAACCCUUCGGGUGUCUCUAGGUGUUAUCGAUUUAUCGUAAUGUUCGGUUUUGAGUCCUUAACAGGAUUCUUAACAGGCAUUGCAAGUUUACUUUGAACAAAUCAGAGUGCUUCAAACAGGCGUUUUCGCUUGAAUGAUCGUGCAUGGAAUAAUAGAAAAUGAUUUCGGUUCAGUUUUAUUGGUUUUACGGACUGAGAUAAUGGUUAACAGAGACAAACGGGGGCAUUUGUAUGGUCCCGUGAGAGGUGAAAUUCUUGGACCGUGGCCAGACAAACUACAGCGAAAGCAUUUGCCAAGAAUGUUUUUAUUAAUCAAGAACGAAAGUCAGAGGUUCGARGGCGAUCAGAUACCGCCCUAGUUCUGACCGUAAACGAUGCCAACUAGCGAUCCGCCGAUGGAAAUUAUAUUGCCUUGGUGGGGAGCUUCCCGGAAACGAAAGUCUUCCGGUUCCGGGGGAAGUAUGGUUGCAAAGCUGAAACUUAAAGGAAUUGACGGAAGGGCACCACCAGGAGUGGAGCCUGCGGCUUAAUUUGACUCAACACGGGGAAACUCACCCGGCCCGGACACUGUGAGGAUUGACAGAUUGAUAGCUUUUUCAUGAUUCAGUGGAUGGUGGUGCAUGGCCGUUCUUAGUUCGUGGAGUGAUUUGUCUGGUUUAUUCCGAUAACGAGCGAGACUCUAACCUACUAAAUAGUUGGUACAUACUCUUAGUGUAUACAGCUUCUUAGAGGGAUUUGCGGCGUUCAGCCGAAAGAAAUUGAGCAAUAACAGGUCUGUGGUGCCCUUAGAUGUCCGGGGCUGCACGCGCGCUACACUGGCAAAAUCAACGUGCUUGUCCUACCCUGAAAGGGGCGGGUAAACCAUUGAAAAUUUGCCGUGAUUGGGAUCGGAAAUUGCAAUUAUUCUCCGUGAACGAGGAAUUCCAAGUAAGUGCGAGUCAUCAGCUCGCGUUGAUUACGUCCCUGCCCUUUGUACACACCGCCCGUCGCUGCCCGGGACUGAGCCAUUUCGAGAAAUUUGGGGACCGUUGAUUUAAUUUUUCUAAAUUACUUUGAUGGAAACCAAUUUAAUCGCAGUGGCUUGAACCGGGC